rnacentral:rRNA from 1 species
AUUGAACGCUGGCGGAAUGCUUUACACAUGCGAGUCGAGCGGCAGCGCGGGGGCGACCCUGGCGGCGAGCGGCGAACGGGUGAGUAAGACAUCGGAACGUACCCUGUUGUGGGGGAUAACGAAUCGAAAGAUUCGCUAAUACCGCAUACGACCUGAGGGUGAAAGGGGGGGACCGCAAGGCCUCUAGCGGCAGGAGCGGCCGGUGGCCGAUUAGCUAGUUGGUGGGGUAAAGGCUCACCAAGGCGACGAUCGGUAGCGGGUCUGAGAGGACGACCCGCCACACUGGGACUGAGACACGGCCCAGACUCCUACGGGAGGCAGCAGUGGGGAAUUUUGGACAAUGGGGGCAACCCUGAUCCAGCCAUUCCGCGUGAGUGAAGAAGGCCUUCGGGUUGUAAAGCUCUUUCGGCAGGAACGAAACGGUGGAGGUUAAUACCCUUUAUCAAUGACGGUACCUGAAGAAGAAGCACCGGCUAACUACGUGCCAGCAGCCGCCGUAA